AUUGAACGCUGGCGGCAUGCUUUACACAUGCAAGCCGGACGGCAGCGCGGGCUUCGGCCUGGCGGCGAGUGGCGAACGGGUGAGUAAUACAACGGAACGUGCCCAGUAGUGGGGGAUAGCUCGGCGAAAGCCGGAUUAAUACCGCAUACGACCUGCGGGCGAAAGCGGGGGCCUUUAGGGCCUCGCGCUAUUGUAGCGGACGAUGGCAGAUUAGCUAGUUGGUGGGGUACAGGCCUACCAAGGCGACGAUCCGUAGCUGGUCUGAGAGGACGACCAGCCACCCGUGGACUGAGGCACGGCCCAGACUCCUACGGGAGGCGGCAGUGUGGAAUUUUGGACAAUGUGCGCAAGCCUGAUCCAGCAAUCCCGCGUGUGGGAUGAAGGCCUUCGGGUUGUAAAGCACCUUUGGCAGGAACGAAAAGUGCCGGGCUAAUGCCACGGUACGAUGACGGUACCUGCAGAAUAGGCACCGGCUAACUACGUG
rnacentral:rRNA from 1 species